rnacentral:rRNA from 1 species
CCAGCCCGCUCAGAAACUUAAAGGAAGUUGACGGGGGCCCGCGACAAGACGGAGGAGCAUGUGGUUUAAUUUCGAUGAUACGCGAGGAACCUUACCUGGGCUUAAAUGCUUAAUGACGUACUGGGAAACUGGUAUUUCUUCGGACAUUUUUGCAAGGUGCUGCAUGGUUGUCGUCAGCUCGUGCCGUGAGGUGCGGGUUAAGUCCCAUAACGAGCGCAACCCUAUUGUUAGUUGCCAUCAGGUCAUGCUGGGGACUCUAACAAAACUGCCCGCGUAAGCGUGGAGGAAGGUGGGGAUGACGUCAAAUCAGCACGGCCCUUACGUCCAGGGCUACACACGUGCUGCAAUGGCCGGUACAGAGGGCAGCCACUUGGUGACAAGGAGCAAAUCUCAAAAGCCGGUCUCAGUUCGGAUCGGAGUCUGCAACUCGACUCCGUGAAGUUGGAUUCGCUAGUAAUCGUAGAUCAGCAAUGCUACGGUGAAUACGUUCCCGGGCCUU